AUUCACUUUUAUUGACCACGAAAACAUACAAAUGAACAGGAUUCAGGCUAAACACAAAGCUAUGCAACUACAACUACCCACAAUACCCCAUACAAAACAACCCCUAUACAUAGGACCUUCAAUCAGAGGCAACUAGAAACAGCUGCCUCCAAUUGAAGGUCAAAUCAAUAAACUGAAAAUAGACGUAAACAACCUAGAACUAACAUAGAAUACACUAACCUAGAACCUAAACCUAAAACCCCGGUACACUCUAAACCAACACCCCUCUACAUAAACACAUAGCCCAAAAACCCCGAAACACUCUAAACAAAUACCCCUUCUACAUGAACACAUAAUAUAACAAAGCCCUAAACACUCUAAACAAAUACCCCCUGCCACGUCCUGACCAAGCUACAAUAACAAAUGAUCCAUUUACUGGUCAGGACGUGACAUCCAUUCCAUUCCAUUGUUAGUUUACCUUUAUUUCCUCUGUCACAUUCGUGUGGUUGUUCUGAGGAUCAUAUUAGGCUAGCUUAUUACAAGUUGUGCAAUAAUUUGGGACAUGUAGGAUAUUUGAAUCAUUAUGGAACACAGACCAUAGGUAGCAGUUUAACCCUAGAGCCUGGUGCACGGUUCACGACGACUGGACCGUUGUAAUAACAGUUCCAGUAUUAGUGAGGAUUAUUAGGGUAGAUUUAUAGGACUACUGUUGUAUCUUACUACAGUAUGUAUCUUGUUUGUGUGUGUGUGUGUGUUCAGGGAGAAAAGGCAGUUCCGGGUGUACAUAGUGAUGCCUCUGCUACCCAGAUUUGAAGGCGACAUCUCCUCAGGAGGGGGCCAAGCCAUCAAAGCCAUCAUGUACUUUAAUUACAGGACCAUGUGCCGGGGAGAUCACAUCGAGAGACUGAAAUGUGCUCAGCCAACAUCAACGACAGAAGCAUGCUGGGUAAGCGCGACAGUGAGAUGGCGGUGGUGGUGGAGGACUCGGACAUGGUAAUGGCUGUGAUGGACGGAGAGAGCUACCAGGUUGGGAGGUUUGCCUUGUCACUCAGAGAAGAGUGUUUCAGGUCAUUCAAAUUAAUAAGAAAAAGUGGGGUAAAUUGAGUUGUUUUAACAUUCAGCAGCACUCCUUCAAAGGAAAUAUAAUUUUCUUUCUAACAAAGACAUAUACAUAUUUCAUGAUGUUGUGUAUCCCUGGAAAUAAUCAGAAUUCAUGUAAACAUUACAGAUUUGAAAACAUAGCUUUUGAAAACAAAGUGGUCUCUUGGCACAACUAACCCCGGCUAUGGAGUAAAUUGUGUCGCGGGACAGGGUAAAUUAAGCCGCUUACACAUUUCUGCACAGAAUUAAAUAUGUGACCGACUGGCUCGAUUCGGUCUUAUGUAGCAAAAUUUGAAAUGGAUAACAGUAGAGACUCA
rnacentral:lncRNA from 1 species